UUUACAAAAAUGAUAUGUAGUGG
rnacentral:snRNA from 1 species